UGGGGAAUUUUGCACAAUGGGGGAAACCCUGAUGCAGCGACGCCGCGUGAUUUAGAAGGCCUUCGGGUUGUAAAAAUCUUUUCUAUGGGAAGAAAAUGACAGUACCAUAGGAAUAAGGACCGGCUAAUUACGUGCCAGCAGCCGCGGUAAUACGUAAGGUGCGAGCGUUGUCCGGAAUCAUUGGGCGUAAAGGGUACGUAGGCGGGUAAGCAAGUUAGAAGUGAAAUCCUAUAGCUCAACUAUAGUAGGCUUUUAAAACUGCUCAUCUUGAGGUAUGGAAGGGAAAGUGGAAUUCCUAGUGUAGCGGUGAAAUGCGCAGAUAUUAGGAGGAAUACCGGUGGCGAAGGCGACUUUCUGGCCAUAACCUGACGCUGAGGUACGAAAGCGUGGGUAGCAAACAGG
rnacentral:rRNA from 1 species